rnacentral:rRNA from 1 species
UACGUAGGUGGCAAGCGUUAUCCGGAUUUACUGGGUGUAAAGGGCGUGUAGGCGGGGAAGCAAGUCAGAUGUGAAAGCCACGGGCUCAACCUGUGGCCUGCAUUUGAAACUGUUUUUCUUGAGUGCUGGGGAGGCAAUCGGAAUUCCGUGUGUAGCGGUGAAAUGCGUAGAUAUACGGAGGAACACCAGUGGCGAAGGCGGAUUGCUGGACAGUAACUGACGCUGAGGCGCGAAAGCGUGGGGAGCAAACAGG